GAUGACCUUUGGCGGCGUGCUUAACACAUGCAAGUCGAACGAAGCACUUAUCUUUGAUUCUUCGGAUGAAGAGGUUUGUGACUGAGUGGCGGACGGGUGAGUAACGCGUGGGUAACCUGCCUCAUACGGGGGGAUAACAGUUAGAAAUGACUGCUAAUACCGCAUAAGACCACGGAGCCGCAUGGCUCAGUGGGAAAAACUCCGGUGGUAUGAGAUGGACCCGCGUCUGAUUAGGUAGUUGGUGGGGUAACGGCCUACCAAGCCAACGAUCAGUAGCCGACCUGAGAGGGUGACCGGCCACAUUGGGACUGAGACACGGCCCAAACUCCUACGGGAGGCAGCAGUGGGGAAUAUUGCACAAUGGGGGAAACCCUGAUGCUGCGACGCCGCGUGAGCGAAGAAGUAUUUCGGUAUGUAAAGCUCUAUCAGCAGGGAAGAAAAUGACGGUACCUGACUAAGAAGCACCGGCUAAAUACGUGCCAGCAGCCGCGGUAAUACGUAUGGUGCAAGCGUUAUCCGGAUUUACUGGGUGUAAAGGGAGCGUAGACGGCUGUGUAAGUCUGAAGUGAAAGCCCGGGGCUCAACCCCGGGACUGCUUUGGAAACUAUGCAGCUAGAGUGUCGGAGAGGUAAGUGGAAUUCCCAGUGUAGCGGUGAAAUGCGUAGAUAUUGGGAGGAACACCAGUGGCGAAGGCGGCUUACUGGACGAUGACUGACGUUGAGGCUCGAAAGCGUGGGGAGCAAACAGAAUUAGAUACCCUGGUAGUCCACGCCGUAAACG
rnacentral:rRNA from 1 species